AGCUCCAAUAGCGUAUAUUAAAGUUGUUGCAGUUAAAAAGCUCGUAGUUGGAUGUUUGGGUGCGAUUCUGGUGUGCAGGCGGUGAAAGCCGUUUUUUGCGUGCCGGCGGACUCAUUCCUCCUGAAGAGCACGUCUGGCAUUUAUUUGUCUAGGCGAGUUAUGCGCUUCAGGUCGUUUACUUUGAGCAAAUUAGAGUGUUCAAAGCAGGCGUUUUUGCCUUGAAUACCUUAGCAUGGAAUAAUGAAAUAGGACUUGGUUUCUGUUUUGUUGGUUUCUAGAAGCCGAGUAAUGAUUAAUAGGAACAGUUGGGGCCGUUCAUAUUUCGUUGUCAGAGGUGAAAUUCUUAGAUUGACGGAAGAUGAACUACUGCGAAAGCAUUCGGCAAGGAUGUUUUCA
rnacentral:rRNA from 1 species